rnacentral:lncRNA from 1 species
GUGUCUGUAAUAGGCCCAAUUUGCCCGGCCCAAACUAGAAAUAAAAAAAAAAAAAAACCAAAACCAAAAUUAAAAGUCCAAAAAAAAAAAUAUAGUCCAGUUCUUUACAUCAGCAAGCCUAAAUCCAAGUAGGCCCAAAUGCAUAUGCCCAAUUACACCUAGUCUAAAUUAGCCCAAAAUUACAACCAAACUUAAAUUUAACCUAGCCCACUAAAUCAAAAGAGCUAGCCCGACUGCCC